ACCACAUGUACCUGUAGGCUACCCACAUGUACGCAAUGCGUACCUAUUUUUGACAAUCUAACUCCAACUAAUUUGUAAAAGAACAGGAGGUAUACACUACACAAAUCCUUUUCAGAAUCCGUUUUCUUAAAGUUUAUUAAUAUUUAAACACUAAGGCCCGUUUCAGACGGCGUACUUUUCAUGUGCCGAACUUAAUACACCCUUUGUCCCUUUCGAUAAUUACGUCACAACUACACUGUUUUCAACUUGGGACCACCUACAGGUAAACUGGAAAAGAUUUCAAGUUU